UAGGGAAUCUUCGGCAAUGGACGAAAGUCUGACCGAGCAACGCCGCGUGAGUGAAGAAGGUUUUCGGAUCGUAAAGCUCUGUUGUAAGUCAAGAACGUGUGUGAGAGUGGAAAGUUCACACAGUGACGGUAGCUUACCAGAAAGGGACGGCUAACUACGUGCCAGCAGCCGCGGUAAUACGUAGGUCCCGAGCGUUGUCCGGAUUUAUUGGGCGUAAAGGGAGCGCAGGCGGUCAGGAAAGUCUGGAGUAAAAGGCUAUGGCCCAACCAUAGUGUGCUCUGGAAACUGUCUGACUUGAGUGCAGAAGAGGAGAGUGGAAUUCCAUGUGUAGCGGUGAAAUGCGUAGAUAUAUGGAGGAACACCAGUGGCGAAAGCGGCUCUCUGGUCUGUCACUGACGCUGAGGCUCGAAAGCGUGGGUAGCGAACAGGAUUAGAUACCCUGGUAGUCCAUGCCGUAAACGAUGAGUGCUAGGUGUUGGAGGGUUUCCGCCCUUCAGUGCCGGAGCUAACGCAUUAAGCACUCCGCCUGGGGAGUACGACCGCAAGGUUG
rnacentral:rRNA from 1 species